AUUAACGCGAAGAACCUUACCUACCCUUGACAUGGUCGGAAUCCUGAAGAGAUUCGGGAGUGCUCGAAAGAGAACCGGCGCACAGGUGCUGCAUGGCUGUCGUCAGCUCGUGUCGUGAGAUGUUGGGUUAAGUCCCGCAACGAGCGCAACCCUUGUCCUGUACUGCCAGCGGGUUAUGCCGGGGACUUGCAGGAGACUGCCGGGGUCAACUCGGAGGAAGGUGGGGAUGACGUCAAGUCAUCAUGCCCCUUAUGUCCAGGGCUUCACACAUGCUACAAUGGCGCGUACAGAGGGCUGCGAGACCGUGAGGUGGAGCGAAUCCCUUAAAGCGCGUCUCAGUUCGGAUUGGGGUCUGCAACUCGACCCCGUGAAGUCGGAGUCGCUAGUAAUCGCAGAUCAGCAACGCUGCGGUGAAUACGUUCCCGGGCCUUGUACACACCGAAU
rnacentral:rRNA from 1 species